AACGCUGGCGGCGUGCCUAAUACAUGCAAGUCGAACGCAUCCCGUUAAAUGAAGUGCUUGCACGGAUUUUAACAUCGGAUGAGUGGCGAACUGGUGAGUAACACGUGGGUAACCUGCCCAGAAGCAGGGGAUAACACUUGGAAACAGGUGCUAAUACCGUAUAACAACAAAAACCGCAUGGUUUUUGUUUGAAAGGUGGUUUCGGCUAUCACUUCUGGAUGGACCCGCGGCGUAUUAGCUAGUUGGUGGAGUAACGGUUCACCAAGGCAAUGAUACGUAGCCGACCUGAGAGGGUAAUCGGCCACAUUGGGACUGAGACACGGCCCAAACUCCUACGGGAGGCAGCAGUAGGGAAUCUUCCACAAUGGACGAAAGUCUGAUGGAGCAACGCCGCGUGAGUGAAGAAGGUUUUCGGAUCGUAAAACUCUGUUGUUGAAGAAGAACACGUUUGAGAGUAACUGUUCAGACGUUGACGGUAUUCAACCAGAAAGCCACGGCUAACUA
rnacentral:rRNA from 4 species